rnacentral:ribozyme from 1 species
UUUUUUUUUUUUUUUUUUUUUUUUUCUUU